CUGGCGGCGUGCCUAAUACAUGCAAGUCGAACGCACUCUCGUUAGAUUGAAGGAGCUUGCUCUGAUUGAUAAACAUUUGAGUGAGUGGCGGACGGGUGAGUAACACGUGGGUAACCUGCCCUAAAGUGGGGGAUAACAUUUGGAAACAGAUGCUAAUACCGCAUAAAACCUAACACCGCAUGGUGUAGGGUUGAAAGAUGGUUUCGGCUAUCACUUUAGGAUGGACCCGCGGUGCAUUAGUUAGUUGGUGAGGUAAAGGCUCACCAAGACCGUGAUGCAUAGCCGACCUGAGAGGGUAAUCGGCCACACUGGGACUGAGACACGGCCCAGACUCCUACGGGAGGCAGCAGUAGGGAAUCUUCCACAAUGGACGAAAGUCUGAUGGAGCAACGCCGCGUGAGUGAAGAAGGUUUUCGGAUCGUAAAACUCUGUUGUUGGAGAAGAAUGUAUCUGAUAGUAACUGAUCAGGUAGUGACGGUAUCCAACCAGAAAGCCACGGCUAACUACGUG
rnacentral:rRNA from 1 species